rnacentral:misc_RNA from 1 species
UCCGUCUUGACGACGGCAGUCUCGCGCGACACUUGUAACGCGCGACGAGGGUUGCGCUCGUUCCCGGACUUAACCGAACACUUCACAGCACGAGCUGACGACGACCAUGCAGCACCUGUACCUAACGUUCCCGUGAGGGCACUCUCGCAUUUCUGCAAGAUUCGAAAGGCUUUCAAGGCCUGGAUAAGGUUUUUCGUUUGUUGUCGAAUUGAACCUCAUGCUCCACCGCUUGUGCGGGUCCCCGUCUAUUCCUUUGAGUUUUAGCCUUGCGGCCGUACUUCCCAGGCGGCGCACUUACCGCGUUAGCUACGACACGGAAACGUCAGUGGUUCCCAUGCCUCGUGCGCAUCGUUUACGGCGUGGACUAC